AGGUGCCGCCCCUCCUCCAGCUCGGGGUACUCCCUGACUAGCAGUGAACCUGAAAGGAUGGAGGCCCUGUGCGGGCAAUGGCUCUGCCCAGAUUUUUAACCACCAGACUGAACGCAGUGCCUGGAAUACAGCUGGCAGGUACCGGAGAAUGUCAGUCACACCCCAGACCUGCACAGCUCCCCCAGACUUCUGUCUGUGCCUGAGAGCUUCAUAUCCCCA